UGUGGAAUGCCUGCCACACUCCCGUGGGCUUUUGCCAGAGGGCCUCCCGCCAGUAAUCUGCCCUUCAGAAACUGGCCUUGGAUUUCUCAGUCUCCAUUUGUGACCUUGGUGGCGAGAGGUUUGGGAGUCUAAAUGCAAGGAAAUCAAAGAUCAGAGCCGUGAGAGUUACCAGAGUCCAGAGAACAAUCUGGAUGGAAAGACUACUAAUGUCACGCACUCAUGCAGUGAUCAUAGCAACCCUAGUGAGGAAGGCACCGUCAUCAUCCCUGUGCUGCAGACAAGGAAACAGGGGCACCAAGAGGUUAAGGAACUGGUCCCGCCGGGCGCGGUGGCUCACACCUGUAAUCCCAGCACUUUGGGA
rnacentral:lncRNA from 10 species